GUAGGCCUAUGUCGCAUGGGCGCACUGGUGGAUGUCCUCUGGCCGGCCUCUUCUCCGCGCCCCGGCUCUUGCAAUCUUCUUCCAGGCUAUUUGCUACCGCCUCCAUAAAAGGAGCGGAAGGGCCUCACAACAAUGUUGGGGCAAUGGCAAGAUGGAGUCCCAUGUGACUACAGAUAGCAUGGCCGACCGGCCGGCUGGCUGGCAGUUUGGUGUCUAGGCUCCGUCAAUAUUUCGUCUUCAAUACAGUUUUCCUUCAUGCUAUGGCCGGAUGUAAGAAUCAUCAGUUUAAUCUUGACACUACUACAAUCUCUCUGAUUUUGCGAACUAUCGGAUUGCCGGGGCAGAUGUAUAAGCCUGGUAUAUGCUUGAUAAAAUUCCCAACCAUGCCUUUAGCUUCAAGUUCUGAAUACCCUGCAAACAACAUUUAUUUUUUUAGGUCCUGUAGAUUAAUCCACCACUUGAUGGUUGAUGCAGCAGAGGAGGACAUGGUGUACCGAUGGGAGUUUCAGGCAAAUCAGUGGGCUGUCGCGUUGGGUAAUUAGGAUAUAAGUAAUGUGGUUUGCAACAACAGAUCUGCUGCAGGCACUUCCACUAGCUAUGUGUACCUUUCUAUGGACAAUAAUCUAUAGUGUUUCUUUAAAUUGGUUUGCAAAAUAUAUGCAUAACCAAUGGUAUAUUCCAUAAAGACAACUAAGAACUUAUUAGUUCAGUUGCUAAAUUGUUAUUUCUGUAUUUUGUUAAACCAACAAUCUAACCUACCUCUUCUACAAUUCUUUGUUAUAAGCUGUCCGUUGUAAGUCAUAUGUACUUCCACUUCAACACUAUGAUUUGUACCAAUUUUCAGAUAAGCAAAUGUUCUUGACCUCUCUUUUCUUUAAUAGGAAUUCGUGGAAAAUAUUUCCUCUCAACAUAUUGCCAAGUGAUCAUCGGUGAGAAGGAAGUACGAGUUUCAGUUCUGGCUUAUGACUUUCAGGUGGAUGAUGGCUCAAUUUCUGAAUGGACUAUUUCUGAUGAAUUACCUCAGAUUUCGCUAUGGGUCCAUCGGAUUUCAUUUACAUUAAGUUCUCGAUGUUUCUUUUAUCAUGACACAAACGGCUGUGCGUUGUCUGCUCCUUUGUCACCUUGAUGACUUCAUCAUAGCAUAGCAAAUUUCAAAUAAGGUUGAGGCCCUUGGUGUCAUCAGCUAGAUGGACAAUCUGAAGCUGGAGCUUUGAGACAGACUAGAUUCUUCUAUGACUGAUGUACAUAUUUCAUCUAUUCAUUGGAACUAUAUCUCCUUUGAAGACAGAAGUCUGAUAUAAUUGUUUCACCGGUGGUUGGCAUUGGCAUGGCUACAUGAUAUACAUCUUUGGGUAGACCAUUUUGAACUUUAUCAAAGAGAGUUAUCUGGACUAAGUUGAGUCCAUCAUUUUAGUCAGAGAUUGAGGUUGCUAUUGAGCCACAAUUCUUUAGUGCAACUAUGAAACACUAAUGUAUAUUACAUUUGUAUAAUUGUUUUGUGGCAAGCUUCACAUGAGUA